GUUUCACUUCUUUUUUUCUUCUGUUGAAAACGAGCUUUGCCUACCCCUGCUGGGGUGCGUAAAAGGUUGCGGACCAAGACUGUGUCCACACCUCCUUCCAACCAUGCAGCUGGACAGAUGCAGACAACAAGAUCCAGACAGACUUGAGAGAGAAGAGAUGUCUUCAACCAGUUCCACCGAGCCACAGCUCUUCUC